UGCUAUUAAUUGCAUCGUCUGUACUCCUCCCCUGCCUAUAAGCAAACUGGAGUGGAUCUAGUUCAGAAUUAACUUCAGAUUUCAACACGGAUACCAUGUAUUUUUCAAAGCAUUUCAUGAUAACAGAAGUUAAAGCCACCGGUCUAUAAUCAUUGUUUUCUGUAAGACAGGGUUUCUUUGGAAUGGGAAUAAUGGUUAUUUUCUUCCAGCGGGCAGGAAACAGAUGAGAAUCUGCAGACCUCUGAAACACAGGGCACCACGCUGGGGUUAGCUCUGCUGCAAAGGUCUUUAGGAGAAAAGCAGCGAUACCAUCAGGGCCUGUAGAUUUCUUUUUGCACACAUGGCUGAAAAGUGACUGGAUUUUGAGGGGAUCAACUACUAACCUUGAACAAGGGUCAGCAGUUGUAAUUGACUGUAGUACAUUAUUGCAUUCCAAAGAGUAGUCCUGUGUAUCAAAACCUGAGAAGAGUGUGUGUGUGUGUGUGUGUGUGUGCGUGUGCGUGCGUGCGUGCGUGCGUGCGUGCGUGCGUGCGUGCGUCAGGCCAAAGACAGGAAGCAUCAUUUAUCUUCUGAAGUUCCUCCACACACAGUCUUUCUUUGUUGGAGGAAUGCUCUUUUUCAUCUGUCACUCCAAGUAUGUGAAGCCGCAGACCAUGACAUCCUCCAUAAACAUUUUCUCCUGCACUCUCACAUGUAUCUUCUCAUGUUUAAAUGCUUGUCACAUUUACACUUUGCAUAAAAACCAUGAAGAAAAACUGCUCAAGAAAACUCUAGGCCUAAAUAUGGUCAUGAUUCUGAACUGCAGGUUUCUUCAAACUUUCCAAAGAUGACAGUACUGCUGCACAAUUAGUGAAAAUAUUAUCAAAAUUGCAAUAUGGCUAAGUGGAAUAGCCAAACUGCAGAAGCUGAAAUUUUGUGACAAAAGUUAAAAUAUGUGACAAAACAACAGAUAUAAUGAAGUACUGUAGUGCUGCAGAGAUCCCCUGGCCUACAAAUCUUAGUCUCCAGAUGUAAGAAAACAUUUUUUUUUUUUUUUGGUACACAUCCCAACAACAACAUCAUCAUGAUUUUAGUGUAAAUGAAAAUUGUGAUGCAAAUGCCUUGUGAUGCCUGACCUUUGUUAAACGGCCCUCUUUGAGCUGUCAUACAUCCUUAAUCUCCAUGUCUGCAUAACCAGUCUGAAUGUACAUUGUGUCCUAUGAAAAGAAAAUGUUGAACGGAACAAACAACAUACUGAUGACUUUGCUUGUCUUAGAGCUACACCAGAGCUAGAGGAAAGGUCAUAACUUCAUCCUCUGUGGAACAGAUAUGCUCAGAUAAGUUGCAAUUUAGAGUGUGAUAUUUCCUGUGUACGAGUGGAAAUUGUGAGUUGAUAGUGAAGCCAGAAGAAAGGUCAGUUGAUGACUCUGAGUCAGAGUUAGAUGUGCUGUUCAGUUGGGAAUCUAGACCUCACCCAGGUCAACGUCAAGUUCUCCAAAAUCAUUAGGAAGCACGCACCACUGUGCUGAAUGCAGAGCUCUACCUUGGGUCUAUUUAUUCUAUUCAGGGAGCAUGUUCAUAAAAUCAAGGUGGUGUGAUAAGGAGAUAAGGAAGUGAGGCUCGCCUUCACAUGACUGGACUGUCAGAAUGAAACUAGAUCAGACGUCUGUGUUUCUCUUUAAAUGAGAAAUCCCAAGUAAACCAGCGCUAAAAUUACACUUAAAUUACACUAUUAAAGGUCAAACACUGCGUGGCCAUUCUGCUAUAUUUUGUACAGUAUAUGUUUGUUCUAGUUAAUUUGUUAUCUACCUUCCCAGUCAUACUCACUCAGAGAGAGACUUAGACUGCCUUCGGAGACACAUUUCAGACUAAAGAAUCAUGACCAGUUAAUUGGGGAGCACUUGUCCAAUUGGGCACAAUAACAGUGUUAGCAGAUUAUUAUUUUUUUAUAAUAUCUUUAUUACAUUUUUGUAGAUAACAGGAUACACAAAAAACAGACACACAACAGAAAAAAAAACAUAAUAGAAAAAAAAAUAAUAACAAAACAGAGGGAAUGUUUAAAAAGAAUAAUUAAGUACAAUGCUGUAUCACUAGCAUUAACAUAUUAGCACAAAUUCUAAACAAUGAGAGGUGGAUGGCACUCUAUGAACUUCCUUGCUGGUCAUGGUCAGUGUCAUAUUUAGCAAGGUGAGCCAGAAAUGGCUGCCAUAUAUCCGAAAAUGUAUUAAGAUUGUCCAUAUGUAAAAUACCAGUGAGCUCACUCAACCAAGUCUUAAACUCAGGCACAGUAUCUGACUUCCAGAGUCGUAGAAUCACUUUCUUUGCAAUUACCAUUCCAUACAUAAUUGUGCUCUGUACCGAAACGUGUUUAAGUACCGAAGGAGAAAUCCCAAAUAAUUCAAUUCAAUUCAAUUCACUUUUAUUUGUAUAGCGCCAGAGAGAGAGAGAGACAUACAGACAUACAGACAGACAGACAGACAGACAGAGGUGCACAGCUACAACAGUAGCAACAACUACACUAAUAGUAGUGACUGAUGAUGAUGAACAUGAAGAUGAUGACGACGACGACAACAACGAUGGGGCGCAGUGACAAUAGUAAUAAUAGUAACUAUAGUAAUAAUAAUAGUAAUAAUAAUGAUAGCAACAAUAUCAAGGAGCUCAGUGCAUCAUGGGAAGUCCCCCGAUAGUCUAGGCCUAUAGCAGCAUAACUAAGGGAUGGUUCAGGACUCACCUGAUCCAGCCCUAACUAUAAGCUUUAUCAAAGAGGAAUGU